rnacentral:rRNA from 1 species
AGCUCGUAGUUGAACCUUGGGCCUGGCUGGCCGGUCCGCCUCACCGCGUGUACUGGUCCGGCCGGGCCUUUCCCUCUGUGGAACCCCAUGCCCUUCACUGGGUGUGGCGGGGAAACAGGACUUUUACUGUGAAAAAAUUAGAGUGCUCCAGGCAGGCCUAUGCUCGAAUACAUUAGCAUGGAAUAAUAGAAUAGGACGUGUGGUUCUAUUUUGUUGGUUUCUAGGACCGCCGUAAUGAUUAAUAGGGACAGUCGGGGGCAUCAGUAUUCAAUUGUCAGAGGUGAAAUUCUUGGAUUUAUUGAAGACUAACUACUGCGAAAGCAUUUGCCAAGGAUGUUUUCAUUAAUCAGGAACGAAAGUUAGGGGAUCGAAGACGAUCAGAUACCGUCGUAGUCUUAACCAUAAACUAUGCCGACUAGGGAUCGGACGGUGUUAUUUUUUGACCCGUUCGGCACC